rnacentral:rRNA from 1 species
UACGAGGGGUGCAAGCGUUGUUCGGAAUUACUGGGCGUAAAGGGCUCGUAGGUGGCCAACUAAGUCAGACGUGAAAUCCCUCGGCUUAACCGGGGAACUGCGUCUGAUACUGGAUGGCUUGAGGUUGGGAGAGGGAUGCGGAAUUCCAGGUGUAGCGGUGAAAUGCGUAGAUAUCUGGAGGAACACCGGUGGCGAAGGCGGCAUCCUGGACCAAUUCUGACACUGAGGAGCGAAAGCCAGGGGAGCAAACGGG